CAUCGCUGGAGUUCCCUGAAUAACUUGCUAAGCCAGAGUCACCAGAGGGAGGGGCCUCAUGAGGCUGGUAGCUCUCUCAGUUUCUGGAAACUGCUGUGUUUUGUUAGCUUCCUGAGAGGCCUGCGAGCCUCCCUCCAGGAAGCAAUGCUCCUGUUCAGAGGAAUGGAUACAUUCUGCUAAGUCUUUUCAUGUUGCCUAGGAAAUGGACAAUCAGAAUGAUCACCACAUAAAAGCAGGUGACUUGAGCGUGGAGGAGACAAAGGUAUGAAUAGGGAGCUUCCUACAAGUUGUAGGGUACCACAUACCUCACCCUGAAGCAAACCUUUGCUACAAAUUGGAAGCCAACCUACUUAAGUAUUUGGUGUGUUGAAUUCAGCCUUUACUUCCCGCCUGAAGGAGAUGCACUGGGACUUAGAAACCAUCAGAUACCACCCUUGCAGAGCCUUCAUCCAGCAGCUGAUGGAAGUAGAAGCAGACACCCACAGCUAAACACUGAACUGAACUCUGGAAUCCAUUUGCAGAGAAGGAGGAGUGAUGAGCAAAGUGGACAAGACCAGGCUGGAGAAACCCACAGAAACAGCUGACCCAAACAAGGGGGAGCUCAUU
rnacentral:lncRNA from 1 species